rnacentral:rRNA from 1 species
GAUGAACGCUGGCGGCGUGCCUAAUACAUGCAAGUCGAGCGAACAGAUGAGGAGCUUUCUCCUCUGACGUUACCGGCGGACGGGUGAGUAACACGUGGAUAACCUCCCUUUAAGCCUGGGAUAACUUCGGGAAACCGGAGCUCAUAUCGGAUAUUAUAUUGAACCGCAUGGUUCAAUAGUCAACGCCGGUUUUGCUGUCACUUAUUGAUGGAUCCUCGCCGCAUUAGCUAGUUGGUACGGUAACGGCUUACCAAGGCAACGAUGCGUAGCCGACCUGAGAGGGUGAUCGGCCACACUGGAACUGAGACACGGUCCAGACUCCUACGGGAGGCAGCAGUAGGGAAUAUUCGGCAAUGGGCGAAAGCCUGACGGAGCAACGCCGCGUGAGUGAUGAAGGUCUUCGGAUCGUAAAACUCUGUUAUUAGGGAAGAACAAAAGUGUAAGUAAAUAUGCACGUCUUGACGGUACCAAAAGAGAAAGCAACGGCUAACUACGUG